rnacentral:rRNA from 1 species
CUAUGCGCCUUGCCACGCCCGCUCAGAACUUAAAGGAAUUGCGGGGCCCGCACAAGCGAGGAACAUGUGGUUUAAUUCGAUGAUACGCGAGGAACCUUACCUGGGCUUAAAUGGGGAGUGACAGCUGUCGAAAGAUGGUUUUCUUCGGACACUCUUCAAGGUGCUGCAUGGUUGUCGUCAGCUCGUGCCGUGAGGUGUCGGGUUAAGUCCCAUAACGAGCGCAACCCUUACCGUUAGUUACCAUCAGGUUAAGCUGGGGACUCUAGCGGGACUGCCACCGUAAGGUGAGAGGAAGGUGGGGAUGACGUCAAAUCAGCACGGCCCUUAUGUCCAGGGCUACACACGUGUUACAAUGGCCAGUACAAAGGGCAGCUACCGGGUGACCGGAUGCUAAUCUCUAAAGCUGGUCUCAGUUCGGAUCGAAGUCUGCAACCCGACUUCGUGAAGCUGGAUUCGCUAGUAAUCGCGCAUCAGCCAUGGCGCGGUGAAUACGUUCCCGGGCCUU